rnacentral:rRNA from 1 species
CCUACGGGUGGCAGCAGUGGGGAAUAUUGGGCAAUGGGCGCAAGCCUGACCCAGCAACGCCGCGUGAAGGAAGAAGGCUUUCGGGUUGUAAACUUCUUUUCUCAGGGACGAAGCAAGUGACGGUACCUGAGGAAUAAGCCACGGCUAACUACGUGCCAGCAGCCGCGGUAAUACGUAGGGGGCAAGCGUUAUCCGGAAUUACUGGGUGUAAAGGGAGCGUAGACGGUAAUGCAAGUCUGGAGUGAAAGGCGGGGGCCCAACCCCCGGACUGCUCUGGAAACUGUGUAACUGGAGUGCAGGAGAGGCAGGCGGAAUUCCUAGUGUAGCGGUGAAAUGCGUAGAUAUUAGGAGGAACACCAGUGGCGAAGGCGGCCUGCUGGACUGUAACUGACGUUGAGGCUCGAAAGCGUGGGGAGCAAACAGGAUUAGAUACCCCUGUAGUC